CGAAAGAUUGAUCCAGUUACUUAUUAGGAUGAUAUAUAAAAAAUUAUAUCUAUAAAAGUAUAUAAAUAAUAUAUAUAUAAAUUGAUUAAAAAUAAAAUCCAUAAAUAAUUAAAAUAAUGAUAUUAAUUACCAUAUAAUAAUAAUAUGGAUAUAUAAUAAUUAUAAUAUUAAUUUAUUAUAAUAAAUUAUAUAUUUUAAUAGUCCUGACUAAUAUUUGUGCCAGCAGUCGCGGUAACACAAAGAGGGCGAGCGUUAAUCAUAAUGGUUUAAAGGAUCCGUAGAAUGAAUUAUAUAAUUUAGAGUUAAUAAAUUUAAUUAAAGAAUUAUAAUAGUAAAGAUGAAAUAAUAAUAAUAAUUAUAAGACUAAUAUAUGUGAAAAUAUUAAUUAAAUAUUAACUGACAUUGAGGGAUUAAAACUAGAGUAGCGAAACGGAUUCGAUACCCGUGUAGUUCUAGUAGUAAACUAUGAAUACAAUUAUUUAUAAUAAAUAUAUAUAUAUAUAAAUAAUAAAUGAAAAUGAAAGUAUUCCACCUGAAGAGUACGUUAGCAAUAAUGAAACUCAAAACAAUAGACGGUUACAGACUUAAGCAGUGGAGCAU
rnacentral:rRNA from 1 species